UUAAGCGACUAAGCGUACACGGUGGAUGCCCUGGCAGUCAGAGGCGAUGAAGGACGUGCUAAUCUGCGAAAAGCGUCGGUAAGGUGAUAUGAACCGUUAUAGCCGGCGAUGUCCGAAUGGGGAAACCCAGUGUGAUUCGUCACACUAUCGUUAACUGAAUACAUAGGUUAACGAGGCGAACCGGGGGAACUGAAACAUCUAAGUACCCCGAGGAAAAGAAAUCAACCGAGAUUCCCCCAGUAGCGGCGAGCGAACGGGGAGCAGCCCAGAGUUUGAAUCAGCUUGUGUGUUAGUGGAACGGUCUGGAAAGUCCGACGGUACAGGGUGAUAGUCCCGUACACCAAAAUGCACAGGCUGUGAACUCGAAGAGUAGGGCGGGACACGUGGUAUCCUGUCUGAAUAUGGGGGGACCAUCCUCCAAGGCUAAAUACUCCUGACUGACCGAUAGUGAACCAGUACCGUGAGGGAAAGGCGAAAAGAACCCCGGCGAGGGGAGUGAAAAAGAACCUGAAACCGUGUACGUACAAGCAGUGGGAGCACCUUCGGGUGUGACUGCGUACCUUUUGUAUAAUGGGUCAGCGACUUAUAUUCUGUAGCAAGGUUAACCGUAUAGGGGAGCCGCAGGGAAACCGAGUCUUAACUGGGCGUUAAGUUGCAGGGUAUAGACCCGAAACCCGGUGAUCUAGCCAUGGGCAGGUUGAAGGUUGGGUAACACUAACUGGAGGACCGAACCGACUAAUGUUGAAAAAUUAGCGGAUGACUUGUGGCUGGGGGUGAAAGGCCAAUCAAACCGGGAGAUAGCUGGUUCUCCCCGAAAGCUAUUUAGGUAGCGCCUCGUGAAUUCAUCUUCGGGGGUAGAGCACUGUUUCGGCUAGGGGGUCAUCCCGACUUACCAACCCGAUGCAAACUACGAAUACCGAAGAAUGUUAUCACGGGAGACACACGGCGGGUGCUAACGUCCGUCGUGAAGAGGGAAACAACCCAGACCGCCAGCUAAGGUCCCAAAGUCAUGGUUAAGUGGGAAACGAUGUGGGAAGGCACAGACAGCCAGGAUGUUGGCUUAGAAGCAGCCAUCAUUUAAAGAAAGCGUAAUAGCUCACUGGUCGAGUCGGCCUGCGCGGAAGAUGUAACGGGGCUAAACCAUGCACCGAAGCUGCGGCAGCGACACUAUGUGUUGUUGGGUAGGGGAGCGUUCUGUAAGCCUGCGAAGGUGACCUGUGAGGGUUGCUGGAGGUAUCAGAAGUGCGAAUGCUGACAUAAGUAACGAUAAAGCGGGUGAAAAGCCCGCUCGCCGGAAGACCAAGGGUUCCUGUCCAACGUUAAUCGGGGCAGGGUGAGUCGACCCCUAAGGCGAGGCCGAAAGGCGUAGUCGAUGGGAAACAGGUUAAUAUUCCUGUACUUGGUGUUACUGCGAAGGGGGGACGGAGAAGGCUAUGUUAGCCGGGCGACGGUUGUCCCGGUUUAAGCAUGUAGGCUGAUUAUCCAGGCAAAUCCGGAUAAUCAAGGCUGAGGUGUGAUGACGAGGCACUACGGUGCUGAAGUAACAAAUGCCCUGCUUCCAGGAAAAGCCUCUAAGCAUCAGGUAACAUCAAAUCGUACCCCAAACCGACACAGGUGGUCAGGUAGAGAAUACCAAGGCGCUUGAGAGAACUCGGGUGAAGGAACUAGGCAAAAUGGUGCCGUAACUUCGGGAGAAGGCACGCUGGUGUGUAGGUGAAGUCCCUGCGGAUGGAGCUGAGACCAGUCGAAGAUACCAGCUGGCUGCAACUGUUUAUUAAAAACACAGCACUGUGCAAACACGAAAGUGGACGUAUACGGUGUGACGCCUGCCCGGUGCCGGAAGGUUAAUUGAUGGGGUUAUCCGUAAGGAGAAGCUCUUGAUCGAAGCCCCGGUAAACGGCGGCCGUAACUAUAACGGUCCUAAGGUAGCGAAAUUCCUUGUCGGGUAAGUUCCGACCUGCACGAAUGGCGUAAUGAUGGCCAGGCUGUCUCCACCCGAGACUCAGUGAAAUUGAACUCGCUGUGAAGAUGCAGUGUACCCGCGGCAAGACGGAAAGACCCCGUGAACCUUUACUAUAGCUUGACACUGAACAUUGAGCCUUGAUGUGUAGGAUAGGUGGGAGGCUUUGAAGCGUGGACGCCAGUCUGCGUGGAGCCAACCUUGAAAUACCACCCUUUAAUGUUUGAUGUUCUAACGUUGGCCCCUUACCGGGGUUGCGGACAGUGUCUGGUGGGUAGUUUGACUGGGGCGGUCUCCUCCCAAAGCGUAACGGAGGAGCACGAAGGUUAGCUAAUCCUGGUCGGACAUCAGGAGGUUAGUGCAAUGGCAUAAGCUAGCUUGACUGCGAGCGUGACGGCGCGAGCAGGUGCGAAAGCAGGUCAUAGUGAUCCGGUGGUUCUGAAUGGAAGGGCCAUCGCUCAACGGAUAAAAGGUACUCCGGGGAUAACAGGCUGAUACCGCCCAAGAGUUCAUAUCGACGGCGGUGUUUGGCACCUCGAUGUCGGCUCAUCACAUCCUGGGGCUGAAGUAGGUCCCAAGGGUAUGGCUGUUCGCCAUUUAAAGUGGUACGCGAGCUGGGUUUAGAACGUCGUGAGACAGUUCGGUCCCUAUCUGCCGUGGGCGCUGGAGAAUUGAGGGGGGCUGCUCCUAGUACGAGAGGACCGGAGUGGACGCAUCACUGGUGUUCGGGUUGUCAUGCCAAUGGCACUGCCCGGUAGCUAAAUGCGGAAGAGAUAAGUGCUGAAAGCAUCUAAGCACGAAACUUGCCCCGAGAUGAGUUCUCCCUGAGACUUUAAGUCUCCUGAAGGAACGUUAAAGACGAUGACGUUGAUAGGCCGGGUGUGUAAGCGCAGCGAUGCGUUGAGCUAACCGGUACUAAUGAACCGUGAGGCUUAACCUU
rnacentral:rRNA from 2 species